UACGUAGGGGGCAAGCGUUGUCCGGAUUUAUUGGCGUAAAGAGCGUGUAGGCGGCCUGGAAGGGCAGCUGUGAAAACUCGAGGCUCAACCUCGAGACGUCGGUUGAAACCACCUGGCUAGAGUCCGGAAGAGGAGAAUGGAAUUCCUGGUGUAGCGGCGAAAUGCGCAGAUAUCAGGAAGAACACCCGUGGCUAAGGCGGUUCUCUAGUACGGUACUGACGCUGAGACGCGAAAGCAUGGGUAGCGAACAGG
rnacentral:rRNA from 1 species